rnacentral:rRNA from 1 species
CAAUAGCGUAUAUUAAAGUUGUUGCAGUUAAAAAGCUCGUAGUUGGAUUUCUGGUGGGAGCGAUCGGUCUGGCGCUUAGCGCGAGUACUUGCAUCGUCUCCGGCCAUCCUUGGGGAGAGUCUGUCUGGCAUUAGGUUGUCGGGCAGAGGAUCUUCAUCGUUUACUGUGAAAAAAUUAGAGUGUUCAAAGCAGGCUUAUGCCGUUGAAUAUAUUAGCAUGGAAUAAUAAGAUAGGACUUUGGUACUAUUUUAUUGGUUUGCGCACCAAAGUAAUGAUUAAUAGGGACAGUUGGGGGUAUUCGUAUUCCGUUGUCAGAGGUGAAAUUCUUGGAUUUACGGAAGACGAACUACUGCGAAAGCAUUUACCAAGGAUGUUUUCAUUAA